AUCGGCCUGUAAUUCAGACCUAUUUAUAUGUAACGUUAUGUUUUAGAAAACUUUCUUUGUAACGCUUUACCAGUGUCAUGAAGCUUUCCACGCAUAAGCUGUAACAUAAAUAAUUCUUUUUCUGGCUACAUUACGCAAUUUUGCGAAUUAUUUAAUUAAAAAUUGGAGACAGUCAUGUCUAAAUCAACUGGUAUCGUUAAGUGGUUUAAUGAAGAGAAAGGUUUCGGUUUCAUCACUCAAGACAAUGGCGGCGCUGACGUAUUCGUUCACUUCCGUGCUAUCACUGGCGAAGGCUUCAAAACGCUAGCUGAAGGUCAGAAGGUUUCUUUUGACGUAGAACAAGGCCAGAAAGGUCCUCAAGCUGCAAACGUUGAAGCUGCUUAAUUCGCACUCGCGUUAAACGUUUUUUAAAUACCGACAUAAUGUCGGUAUUUUUUU
rfam:Photobacterium iliopiscarium strain ATCC 51761 CFSAN029430_contig0000, whole genome shotgun sequence.